UNUGAAGUUAAAGGCUGUGGCUUAACCAUAGUAUGCUUUGGAAACUGUUUAACUUGAGUGCAGAAGGGGAGAGUGGAAUUCCAUGUGUAGCGGUGAAAUGCGUAGAUAUAUGGAGGAACACCGGUGGCGAAAGCGGCUCUCUGGUCUGUAACUGACGCUGAGGCUCGAAAGCGUGGGGAGCAAACAGGAUUAGAUGCCCUGGUAGUCCACGCCGUAAACGAUGAGUGCUAGGUGUUAGGCCCUUUCCGGGGCUUAGUGCCGCAGCUAACGCAUUAAGCACUCCGCCUGGGGAGUACGACCGCAAGGUUGAAACUCAAAGGAAUUGACGGGGGCCCGCACAAGCGGUGGAGCAUGUGGUUUAAUUCGAAGCAACGCGAAGAACCUUACCAGGUCUCGACAUCCCCCUGACCGCUCUAGAGAUAGAGUUUUCCUUCGGGACGGAGGUGACAGGUGGUGCAUGGUUGUCGUCAGCUCGUGUCGUGAGAUGUUGGGUUAAGUCCCGCAACGAGCGCAACCCCUAUUGUUAGUUGCCAUCAUUGAGUUGGGCACUCUAGCGAGACUGCCGGUAAUAAACCGGAGGAAGGUGGGGAUGACGUCAAAUCAUCAUGCCCCUUAUGACCUGGGCUACACACGUGUUACAAUGGCUGGUACAACGAGUCGCAAGCCGGUGACGGCAAGCUAAUCUCUGAAAGCCAGUCUCAGUUCGGAUUGUAGGCUGCAACUCGCCUACAUGAAGUCGGAAUCGCUAGUAAUCGCGGAUCAGCACGCCGCGGUGAAUACGUUCCCGGGCCUUGUACACACC
rnacentral:rRNA from 1 species